GAUGGUCGGCUUUUGGGUUCAGGAGUAUAUCUAUUUUCAUAUUAGGGUCUCUCUGGUUUUCGCUACACGGGUGGGGGUUGUUUUGCUUGUCGUAGAUCCUGUCGAUUAGGUCGGAGGAUCUCUUUCGGCUUCGAUUGGAGGUAAGGUGACUCUGUUGUGUGGAGUCCCGGUUCCUUGCGGUGUCGUCGUGAGUCGGACUCUUCUUCAUCGGCGUCUGGUGAGCUCCAGUGGGUUCUUCUACCACGGUGACGAGCCCUGAGUCUUGUAUGCAGGCGGUAGAUGGU
rnacentral:lncRNA from 1 species